rnacentral:rRNA from 1 species
AACGAACGCUGGCGGCAUGCCUAACACAUGCAAGUCGAACGAGACCUUCGGGUCUAGUGGCGCACGGGUGCGUAACGCGUGGGAACCUGCCCUUAGGUUCGGAAUAACUCCCCGAAAGGGGUGCUAAUACCGGAUAAUGUCUUCGGACCAAAGAUUUAUCGCCUUUGGAUGGGCCCGCGUUGGAUUAGCUAGUUGGUAGGGUAAAAGCCUACCAAGGCGAGGAUCCAUAGCUGGUCUGAGAGGAUGAUCAGCCCGACUGGGACUGAGACACGGCCCAGACUCCUACGGGAGGCAGCAGUGGGGAAUAUUGGACAAUGGGCGAAAGCCUGAUCCAGCAAUGCCGCGUGAGUGAUGAAGGCCUUAGGGUUGUAAAGCUCUUUUACCCGGGAUGAUAAUGACAGUACCGGGAGAAUAAGCUCCGGCUAACUCCGUG